GUGCCAGCCGCCGCGGUAAUACGUAGGUGACAAGCGUUGUCCGGAUUUACUGGGCGUAAAGAGCGCGCAGGCGGUCGUUCAAGUCGAGUGUGAAAGCCCCCGGCUCAACUGGGGAGGGUCACUCGAUACUGAUCGACUCGAAGGCAGGAGAGGGAAGUGGAAUUCCCGGUGUAGUGGUGAAAUGCGUAGAUAUCGGGAGGAACACCAGUGGCGAAGGCGACUUCCUGGCCUGUUCUUGACGCUGAGGCGCGAAAGCUAGGGGAGCAAACGGGAUUAGAUACCCCGGUAGUCCUGGCCCUAAACGGUGCACGUUUGCUGUGAGCGGGGUCGAAUCCGUUCGUGGCGAAGCUAACGCGUUAAACGUGCCGCCUGGGAAGUACGGCCGCAAGGUUAAA
rnacentral:rRNA from 1 species